rnacentral:rRNA from 1 species
CCUACGGGUGGCAGCAGUGGGGAAUCUUCCGCAAUGGGCGAAAGCCUGACGGAGCAACGCCGCGUGAUCGAAUGAAGGCCUUCGGGUUGUAAAGAUCUGUUGACAGGGACGAAUAAGCAAUGCGAAUAGUUUUUUGUAUGACGGUACCUGUUUAGAAAGCUCCGACUACCUACGUGCCACCAGCCGCGGUACAACGUAGGGAGCAAGCGUUGUCCGGAAUUACUGGGCGUAAAGGGCGCGUAGGUGGUCGCUUAAGUCAGGUGUGAAAACUCCGGGCUCAACCUGGAGACUGCAGUUGAAACUGGGUGUCUUGAGGGCAGGAGAGGAAAGUGGAAUUCGUGGUGUAGCGGUGAAAUGCGUAGAUAUUAGGAGGAACACCAGUGGCGAAGGCGACUUUCUGGACUGUAACUGACGCUGAGGCGCGAAAGCGUGGGUAGCGAACGGGAUUAGAUACCCUGGUAGUC